GAUGAACGCUAGCGGCAGGCUUAAUACAUGCAAGUCGUGGGGCAGCAUGAAUGUAGCAAUACAUUUGAUGGCGACCGGCAAACGGGUGCGGAACACGUACACAACCUUCCUAUAAGUGGGGAAUAGCCCAGAGAAAUUUGGAUUAAUACCCCGUAACAUAACGAUGUGGCAUCACAUUGUUAUUAUAGCUUCGGCGCUUAUUGAUGGGUGUGCGGCUGAUUAGAUAGUUGGCGGGGUAACGGCCCACCAAGUCUACGAUCAGUAGCUGAUGGGAGAGCAUGAUCAGCCACACGGGCAAUGAGACACGGGCCCGACUCCUACGGGAGGCAGCAGUAAGGAAUAUUGGUCAAUGGACGCAAGUCUGAACCAGCCACGCCGCGUGAAGGAUUAAGGUCCUCUGGAUUGUAAACUUCUUUUAUUUGGGACGAAAAAAGGCUAUUCUUAGUCACUUGACGGUACCAGAUGAAUAAGCACCGGCUAACUCCGUGCCAGCCGCCGCGGUAACAC
rnacentral:rRNA from 1 species